GAUGAACGCUAGCGAUAGGCUUAACACAUGCAAGUCGAGGGACCGGCGCACGGGUGCGUAACGCGUAUGCAACUAGCCUCACAGAGGGGGAUAACCCGUCGAAAGACGGACUAAUACCGCGUACUGUGAGAUAGGCAUGCGUGCCAUUAGCUAGUUGGUGAGGUAACGGCUCCCCAAGGCAACGAUGGGUAGGGGAACUGAGAGGUUGAACCCCCACGCUGGUACUGAGACAGGGACCAGACUCCUACGGGAGGCAGCAGUGAGGAAUAUUGGUCAAUGGGCGAGAGCCUGAACCAGCCAAGUCGGGUGAAGGAUGACUGUCUAUGGAUUGUAAUCUUCUUUUGUAGGGGAAUAUGUACCCUACGAACAAGCAUCGGCUAACUACGGGCCAGCAGCCGCGGUAAAC
rnacentral:rRNA from 1 species